AACGUAGGAGGCAAGCGUUAUCCGGAGUUACUGGGCGUAAAGAGUGCGUAGGCGGAUUGAUAAGUGGGUGGUGAAAGCGCCCGGCUAAACCGGGCGAGGUCCAUUCAGACUGUCAGUCUAGAGGCGGAUAGAGGGGUGCGGAAUUCCGGGUGUAGCGGUGAAAUGUGUAGAGAUCCGGAGGAACACCAGCGGUGCAAACGGCGCCCUGGGUCCGAACUGACGCUGAAGCACGAAAGCGUGGGGAGCGAACGGG
rnacentral:rRNA from 1 species